rnacentral:rRNA from 1 species
AACGAACGCUGGCGGCAUGCCUAACACAUGCAAGUCGAACGAGACCUUCGGGUCUAGUGUCGCACGGGUGCGUAACGCGUGGGAACCUGCCCUUAGGUUCGGAAUAACUCCCCGAAAGGGGUGCUAAUACCGGAUAAUGUCUUCGGACCAAAGAUUUAUCGCCUUUGGAUGGGCCCGCGUUGGAUUAGCUAGUUGGUAGGGUAAAAGCCUACCAAGGCGACGAUCCAUAGCUGGUCUGAGAGGAUGAUCAGCCACACUGGGACUGAGACACGGCCCAGACUCCUACGGGAGGCAGCAGUGGGGAAUAUUGGACAAUGGGCGAAAGCCUGAUCCAGCAAUGCCGCGUGAGUGAUGAAGGCCUUAGGGUUGUAAAGCGCUUUUACCCGGGAUGAUAAUGACAGUACCGGGAGAAUAAGCUCCGGCUAACUCCGUG